UAAGGAGUCAGGGACAUAAGAAGCAGAAAUAAAAGAGAGAUGGGAGACGGGAAGGUGAAGUCAAUAAGGAGUCAGGGACAUAAGAUCCAGAAAUAAAAGAGAGAUGGGAGACGGGAAGGUGAAGGAUGUAAGGAGUCAGGGACAUAAGAACCAGAAAUAAAAGAGAGAUGGGAAGUUGAAGGAUGUAAGGAGUCAGGGACAUAAGAACCAGAAAUAAAAGAGAGAUGGGAAGGUGAAGGAUGUAAGGAGUCAGGGACAUAAGAACCAGAAAUAAAAUAGAGAUGUGAGACAGGAAGGUGAAGGAUGUAAGGAGUCAGGGACAUAAGAACCAGAAAUAAAAGAGAGAUGGUAAGGUGAAGGACAUAAGGAGUCAGGGACAUAAGAACCAGAAAUAAAAGAGAGAUGGGAAGGUGAAGAAUGUAAGGAGUCAGGGACAUAAGAACCAGAAAUAAAAGAGAGAUGGGAGACGGGAAGGUGAAGGACAUAAGGAGUCAGGGACAUAAGAACCAGAAAUAAAAGAGAGAUGGGAAG
rnacentral:lncRNA from 1 species